GAGGGUAUAGCUCAGUGGUAGAGUACGUGCUUAGCACGCAUGAAGUCCUGGGUUCAAUCCUCAGUACCUCCG
rfam:Camelus ferus unplaced genomic scaffold scaffold1619, whole genome shotgun sequence.